rnacentral:rRNA from 1 species
GAUGAACGCUGGCGGCGUGCCUAAUACAUGCAAGUCGAGCGAACAGACGAGGAGCUUGCUCCUCUGACGUUAGCGGCGGACGGGUGAGUAACACGUGGAUAACCUCCCUAUAAGACUGGGAUAACUUCGGGAAACCGGAGCUAAUACCGGAUAAUAUAUUGAACCGCAUGGUUCAAUAGUGAAAGACGGUUUUGCUGUCACUUAUAGCUGGAUCCGCGCCGCAUUAGCUAGUUGGUAAGGUAACGGCCUACCAAGGCAACGAUGCGUAGCCGACCUGAGAGGGUGAUCGGCCACACUGGAACUGAGACACGGUCCAGACUCCUACGGGAGGCAGCAGUAGGGAAUCUUCCGCAAUGGGCGAAAGCCUGACGGAGCAACGCCGCGUGAGUGAUGAAGGUCUUCGGAUCGUAAAGCUCUGUUAUUAGGGAAGAACAAAUGUGUAAGUAACUAUGCACGUCUUGACGGUACCUAAUCAGAAAGCCACGGCUAACUACGUG